UCCCAACCCAUGUGAACUUACCUAUGUUGCCUCGGCAGGGAACUUACCCGGUACUUACCCGGUAACUACCCCGUAGCUACCCUGUAAUUGCUGGGUAGACCUGCCGAAGGACCCUUUAAACUCUUGUUUUACUGUGGCACUCUGAGUAACUAAAAAUAAAUAAGUUAAAACUUUCAACAACGGAUCUCUUGGUUCUGGCAUCGAUGAAGAACGCAGCGAAAUGCGAUAAGUAAUGUGAAUUGCAGAAUUCAGUGAAUCAUCGAAUCUUUGAACGCACAUUGCGCCCACUAGUAUUCUGGUGGGCAUGCCUGUUCGAGCGUCAUUUCAACCCCUAAGCCUUAGUUGUUUAGCGUUGGGAGUUUGCAUCCUCGCGGUUAGCCGCGACGCAACUCCUUAAAUCUCGUGGUAGGGCUCGCGUCGCCUUGAAGUGUAGUAAUUUCCUUCUCACUUUUUAAAGGCGUUCGCGCGGCACAGCCAAGUAAAACCUUAUAUAUAUCAAGUGGUUGACCUCGGAUCAGGUAGGAGUACCCGCUGAACUUAAGCAUAUCA
rnacentral:rRNA from 1 species